rnacentral:rRNA from 1 species
GUGGGGAAUCUUCCGCAAUGGACGAAAGUCUGACGGAGCAACGCCGCGUGAGUGAAGAAGGUUUUCGGAUCGUAAAGCUCUUUCGUUAGGGACGAACGUGCUCUUUGUGAAUAAUGAGGAGUAAUGACGGUACCUAAAUAAGAAGCCACGGCUAACUACGUGCCAGCAGCCGCGGUAAUACGUAGGUGGCAAGCGUUGUCCGGAAUUAUUGGGCGUAAAGCGCGCGCAGGCGGGAUAUCAAGUCUGUCUUAAAAGUGCGAGGCUCAACCUCGUGAGGGGACAGAAACUGGUAUUCUUGAGUGUCGGAGAGGAAAGUGGAAUUCCAAGUGUAGCGGUGAAAUGCGUAGAGAUUUGGAAGAACACCAGUGGCGAAGGCGACUGUCUGGACGAUGUCUGACGCUGAGGCGCGAAAGCUAGGGGAGCGAACGGGAUUAGAAACCCUGGUAGUCC